UACGAAGGGGGCAAGCGUUGUUCGGAAUUACUGGGCGUAAAGGGCGCGUAGGCGGUGCGUUAAGUUAGGCGUGAAAGCCCUGGGCUCAACCCGGGAACUGCGCUUGAUACUGGCGCGCUUGAAUCCAGGAGAGGUUGGUGGAAUUCCCAGUGUAGAGGUGAAAUUCGUAGAGAUUGGGAAGAACACCGGUGGCGAAGGCGGCCAACUGGACUGGUAUUGACGCUGAGGCGCGAAAGCGUGGGUAGCAAACAGG
rnacentral:rRNA from 1 species